rnacentral:rRNA from 1 species
GAUGUUGGGUUAAGUCCCGCAACGAGCGCAACCCUUAUCCUCAGUAGCCAGCAGUGAGAUGGGCACUCUGGGGAGACUGCCAGGGAUAACCUGGAGGAAGGCGGGGAUGACGUCAAAUCAUCAUGCCCCUUAUGAUUUGGGCUACACACGUGCUACAAUGGCGUAAACAAAGGGAAGCGAGACCGCGAGGUGGAGCAAAUCCCAAAAAUAACGUCUCAGUUCGGAUUGCAGGCUGCAACUCGCC